rnacentral:rRNA from 1 species
AUGUAUGCAGUCUCCAUAGUGGUCCUGGGCUGGUGCGUAGGUUGGAAAUUUUUUGUUUUCUGCUGCGUUACCCUACAGGCAUUUGGUGUGCUCCAAUCUCGAUUUGCUGUUGUCCGGUACCCCGCUCUGACCUGGUCGAAAUCUCAAAUAUGGGAGGUUAUGACUUGCUGUAUCAUCUUGCAUAACAUGAUCAUUGAGAGCGAGCAGAAAGAGCCAGUGUUUGACACUGAACCAUAUUACAGGCAGGGUCCUUUUGAAACUGUUGAUCAUCAGGUACCGACAUCAUGGGCUGCCUUCCUCAAUAUGCGCCAGGAGAUCCGAGACCCACAGGUGCAUCAAGAAUUGCAUCACGAUUUGGUGGAGCACCUAUGA